GAUGGAUAGCUUGGUUUGAAUUGUGACGAAGGACGUGGCAAGCUGCGAUAAGCUCGGGCGAGCUGCAUGCGAGCAUUGAACCCGAGAUCUCCGAAUGCGAUAACGUUCUCUUAGGAGAAUGCCGAGAGGCAAGCAUACGCCGGGAAUUGAAACAUCUUAGUACCGGUAGGAAAAGAAAUCAAUUGAGAUUCCCCCAAUAGCAGCGAGCGAAAAGGGAAUAGGGCAAACCGAAUCUCCUUUUGAAAAGAAGGUAGAGAUGUGGUGAGCAAAGUGGCUAAGUUAUCGAAGGAAAAUAGUCUGGAAUGACGUGCCUUAGAGGGUGAUAGCCCCGUACCUGAAGAUAAUAUGUCGCUGCUCGAAAGAGUAGGGCCUCCUAGAUUGGAGGUUCGAAUACGGCUGGAUUAACAGCCAACCCUAAAUAUUAAUUCAAGUCCGAUAGUGAACUUAGUACCGCGAGGGAAAGCUGAAAAGUACUCUUAGACGAGUGUGAAAAGACUUGAAAUCUACUAGUUACACGAUGGUUACGGCAUUACGGUGUUGUAACGUACGUUUGGAAAAAUGGGCCAAGGAGUUUAUCUACGUGGCGAGGUUAAAUUGAAGCCAUAGCGAAAGCGAGUAGGAAACUGCAUAAGUCACGUGGAUAAGACCCGAAGCCAGAUGAUCUAUUCGUGGACAGGCUGAAGUUUUCCGAAAGGAGAAUGGAGGGCCGAAGCAGUGUUAUGUGCAUGUACUUGUAUGAUCUGCGAAUAGGGGUGAAAAGCCAAUCUAAUCUGGCGAUGGCUGGUUCCUGUCGAAAUAUGCCUCAGUAUAGCCCUGGAUAGUUUGCUGGCGAGGUAAAGUACGGAUAGGGUUUGCAGGAUCGAAAGAUUACGGAACCCAUUCCAACUCUGAACUUGUCAGCUGCGUAUGCCAGGAGUGGCGGGCAGUGCGUAAGGUACUGUUCGAAGACCGGAACAACGGAGACCGGAGUUAAGGUCCCUAAAUAUAUGCUAAGUGUAACAAACUUUGUCGAGAACCUGAAACAGUGGGGAUGUAGGCCCAGAAGCAGCCAUCAUUUAAAGAAAGCGUAACAGCUCACCCAUCGAGGUUUUUGGCGGGGAAAAUGGACGGGGCUAAGCAUAUUACCGAUACUCCGGAGGCGCUCAUUAUGAGCGUUCUGGUAGGCAGGCGUGGAUUCUGCACAGAAGCUUUCUCGAAAGAGAGGGUGGAGCGGGAUCCAAUGAGAAUCUUGGUGAGAGUAAGAUCAGAUUGCCCUGAAAACGGGCAGCGCCGAAAGAGCAAGGUUUCCGUGGCAAUGUCGUUCAUCCACGGGUUAGUCGGCACCUAAGCCAUAUCUUAACUGAGUAUGGCGAAUGGACAUCCGGUUAAUAUUCCGGAACUAGUUAUUUUCGUUUAGUGCACGAAUCCGCUUCGGGAUAGGUGGGUAUCCGAGAGGGUGCCUCGUAAUAGAAGUCUGUGGAUCGUAAUGAUAAGAAGCAGAAGAAUAUUACGGGAGAAAUCUAUUGAUUCCUGGAGCCCAUGAAAAGUUUGUGUAUAGAAAAUAGUUAGCCGUACCCAGAACCGACACUGGUGCUCUAGCUUAGAAGGCUAAGGCGUGCAAGGAAAAACUGGUUAAGGGAACUCGGCAAGUUAGCCCCGUAUCUUCGGUAUGUGGGGUGUCUAUGAUCGUUUCGCAAGAAUGCGAUCGUAGAUCGCAGUGACAAGGACUGCCCGACUGUUUAUCAAAAACGUAGCUGGUUGCAAAUCCGAAAGGACUAGUAUAACCAGUGAAACCUGCCCAGUGGUGGUGUUUCAAACUCCUUUUCAAGGGAGCUAAGACCCAUUAAACGGCGGGCCUAACUAUGAGGCUCUUAAGGUGAAAACGUUGCCUUACAUUCAGAAAUGAAUGCUCUAGGCUUCAUAGAAUAGGAGAUAAACAAUCAAUGUCGAAGUUAAACUAAAUAGAGAAAAUCGAGCUAUAUGCUGGAACAUCCGAGAAUAUUUUGGUACUAGUCUUAGGACAGUGACAAUCCAAAAUUGCGGACAAUCAGCAGGAAAGACUUCUUUUUAAGAAGUAUCCUCAGAGACUACAUGCUCGAGACAAUUUUUAUUGUCAAGAUAUAGUCCGAGCUUUACAGCGAUGUAAAGAGUUGUGAUUGCUCAAAAUAAAAAUCACAGAAUAACAGAAUGAGCGUAAUGCCUUGUCGUCUGAAUGGCGACGUGCAUGAAUGGUUUAACGAGGUAGUUACUGUCCCUAACCAGGUCCUUCUGAACACACUUGAUGGUGAAAAUGCCAUCGUCGCCUAGUGGGAAGUGAAGACCUUGUGAACCUUUACUACAACUUGUUGUUGUGAUUUCGAGGAGGGUGCAUAGUAUAAGUGGGAGCGUCGAUGCCAACUUUCAGGAGUUGGCGGAGCAACCUUGUAAUACCACUCAUCGUUCUUGGAAUUGCUUACUUUCGUUAGAAGGGACAGCAGCAGGCGGGUAGUUUGGCUGGGGCGGCACCCUGCAGAAAAGAUAUCUGUAGGGCCCAAAGACAAGCUCAUCCAGGUUGGAAAUCUGGAGUAGAGUGCGAGGGCAAAAGCUUGUCUAACUGUAUUCUGAAAAGCAAGGGAUGCAGAGAUGAAAGUCGGGCCUAGCGACCCCACGUAGCUUUUUAAUAGGGCUCGUGUGUGACAGAAAAGGUACUCCAAGGAUAACAGGCUUGUCGCGCCCGAUAGUCCAUAUUGACGGCGCGGUUUGGUACAUCGCUGUCGGCUCUUCCUAUCCUGGCUGUGCACAAGCAGCCAAGGGUGUCGGAGUUCACGCAUUAAAAGGGAUCGUUAGCUGGGUUAAGAACGUCAAAAUUAAACUAGCGAUCUUGUAUCAAAACGCAACUAUCAAAAUACACGGCGUUGCAUAGCAGAGAUGCUAUGAAAAAUAAAAUCGGCUCAUAUCGGUGAAACCUAAGUUUGGAAACAGAUAAGGCAAUACCGAGGGAAGAUGAACAUUCAUCCCCGUAGAGACUUAGAUUUUCUCAUAAGAGAUAGACAUCCGUCAAAUGUUGAUAAAAUCUGGACUUACUCAUAUAAUGAGUAGGUAAUACGCCGAUCUCCUAACUCUUAAUUGAGAAGGAUGAUGGUAUAGUCCACACCUUUACGAAAGUAUUGGGUAAUGUACGUGAGACAGUUUGUAUAAUAUCUACUAGGCGCGUUGUUGUCUGAAUGGAACGAGUCCGUAGUACGAGAGGAACCGGACUUGGAUGCCUCUGGUGAGCGGUUGUUACGAGCAGGCCGCGCAGCUACGCAUUGUGUGGAUAAGUGCUGAAAGCAUCUAAGCACGAAGCCAUCCGUAAGACGAGACAACAUAGGCCGCGAAAGAAGAUCGCGUUGAUAGAGUUGGUGUGUAAG
rnacentral:rRNA from 1 species